CGUGGAGCUCUGAGUCCGCUCGAAGAAUCCGGAUAUAAAAGUGCAUCCGGGGACAGGGCGCGCGAGCGUCAUGACGCAACUUCCGGGACGGGCGUGAGGAGCUGUAGGCGGUGCCUGCUAAGGGCUUAAAGGGGAGUGUCGGGUUUACGUUCUGCUACGUGUUAGAACCGAACGCCUGUCGCGGGUGGUGUUAGAACCGAACUUGGUGGAGAGGGGAGCGCAGGGAGUGGGAGUGGGAGUUGGGGUGGGGUGUCUUGUGUGAGGUUCUGAGAACUGAUUUCAGUGUGGGGAAGUUGGGUAGAAGUUCUCAAACCACGGCGAACAGGAUGCUUUUGCGUCUGGGCUGGGUUGGGGACCUGGUGAAUGCCUCUUUACUGGCUGGAUAACUCAAUCUGAGGUGGCAGUAAGGGAAAGUUUGUACACAGGCGUUUUGAGAAUACUGGAAAGUUUGGACCGUACCCAAAACUUCCGAUGUGUUCUUGAAAAUCUGGACCAAAGAACAAAGCCAAAGAAAACGAGAUGAAAACCACCGAGUGUUCGAUUACCCAAAGCGAAGCCACAUUGACGUCUUGGCUUAUUGGCCUGUUUCCGUAUGAGAUACUAAAUUCUCACGCACUCAUGUAUAGAAUGUGACAGUUUGCUUUCUCAGUUGAAAACACAGAAGUUGGUGAAGUAGACCUCUGUAUGCUAUGUUCUUCAACAGGCUAUGUUCUUCGAAAGGUCUGCACUGUUAAAUUAAUGAAUUCAAAUGUAAAUUCCAGUACAUUUCAUGUGACCCUGACAUUUCUUAGAGGAAGUAUAUUGUCCAAUUUUUUGUCUUUCUCAGGGGACAACUUUGAAGCUCAAAUUGCAAGCCUGGUAGAAAUACUUUUAUUAGGGGUAUAUAGGUGCAAGCUUUGCUAGUUUACUAGCAACACAAAGAACAGCCUCAAAGAAACGUUUUAAUUUCCUUUUAAAGUAUAGGUGCUAUCACAGUUUUGAAUCAGAAAUGAACACUGACUCAAAUGAAAACUUCAACAAUUUAGAGGGCAGAUUAGUCAGAAAACCAAGAAAAUCUGGAAAAGAUGCCUUUCCUGUUAUCAAUGUAUACAGUGUUUCCAAACCCAGAUUCUGUGUUCGGAUCCUGACCCCAGGUGGUCAUAGUGACAGUCCUCAUGUGCCCUGACACGUGAAGCAAGCACACUGUUUGAAGAAGCUUGGCAAUUCCUGCCAAAGGGCCUUUCUCUCUUGUGGCUAAUUUCCUCUGACCUAAAGGUAGGUAGGAAAGAUAAAAAGACCCAGUCUGAGCACUUUAUAGCUGUUGGUUUAUGCGGAAUUUCUAGUGUACAAUCUCAGAACCAUGGUAGAAUCGUGUCCAAAGUAGUUUCAAAACAGAGAACUGAUAAAAGGCAGAAAAGAAUGAAGAAAUGACCUUCACCUCUUAGAACUGUG
rnacentral:lncRNA from 1 species